AUGCAUUUCUGCCUACAAUUAGUGCACAACUUCAAGCCUUUGUUUGCUGCUACAUAUGGAAAUAGUACUUUUAACAUAGGAAAUUUUGAGUCGAGAUUUGUACCAGCUCUGAAGGUCAAUUUCAGACGCCUUCUCUAUCUUUUUUGGAACUCUCCCGUGUGCUUUUAUAUGAGUGAUGAACAACUUCUUUGUUCUAUACUCUCAAUAAAAGAUAGAAAGUGUUUUGUUGACUGGAAUUUCCAUGUCUUUCUUUUUUUGUACAGGUAUGACUCAGGAAUUUUCCUUCUCAGUAUCUUAGCAACUACAAAGGUCUCGGAAUCGAGGGUUUCUCUAAUGAUGGUCUACAAGGUCUACGUGAGAAAUUGCUUUUCGAGAUUGUCACUUGCAAGGACAAUGAAAUUCAGCUGCAAUUUGUAA
rnacentral:rRNA from 1 species